UCCGGUUGAUCCUGCCAGAGGCCGCUGCUAUCUGGCUGGGACUAAGCCAUGCUAGUCCAGGGGCUAAGCCUCCCUCGGGAGGUUUAGCACCGGCGGACAGCUCAGUAACACGUGGACAACCUACCCUCGGGUGGGGGAUAACCCCGGGAAACUGGGGCUAAUACCCCAUAGGCCAUGGAGACUGGAAUGUCCCAUGGCUGAAAGCUCCGGCGCCCGAGGAUGGGUCUGCGGCGGAUUAGGUAGUUGGUGGGGUAACGGCCCACCAAGCCUAAGAUCCGUACGGGCUGUGAGAGCAGGAGCCCGGAGAUGGACACUGAGACAAGGGUCCAGGCCCUACGGGGCGCAGCAGGCGCGAAACCUCCGCAAUGCGGGAAACCGCGACGGGGCUAGCCAGAGUGCCCGUGCAUAGCGCGGGCUGUCCGGGUGCCUAAAAAGCACCCGAUAGCAAGGGAUGGGCAAGGCCGGUGGCAGCCGCCGCGGUAAUACCGGCGUCCCGAGUGGCGGCCACUAUUAUUGGGCCUAAAGCGUUCGUAGCCGGCCCAGUAAGUCCCCCGGGAAAUCUGGUCGCUUAACGAUCAGACCUCCGGGGGAUACUGUCGGGCUAGGG
rnacentral:rRNA from 1 species